AGGAUAAACGCUGGCGGCGUGCCUAACGCAUGCAAGUCGAACGCCCUACGCAAGUAGGGAGUGGCGGACGGGUGAGGAACACGUGGGGAUCUGCCCAGAGGUGAGGAAUACCGGCGAGAAAUCGCCGACAAUACCGCAUAGCCUUCUCACGAAGGAAAGUCGCAAGACGCCUAUGGAUGAACCUGCGUCCGAUUAGUUUGUUGGUGGGGUAAUGGCCUACCAAGACAACGAUCGGUAGCUGGUCUGAGAGGACGAUCAGCCACACUGGGAUUGAGAACGGCCCAGACUCCUACGGGGGGCAGCAGUGAGGAAUUUUCGUCAAUGGGGGGCAAACCCUGAACGAGCAACGCCGCGUGCAGGAAGAAGGUUUUCGGAAUCGUAAAACUGCUUUUCUGUGGGAAGAGAACGGACGGUACCACAGGAAGAAGCCCCGGCUAACUACGCGCAGCAGCCGC
rnacentral:rRNA from 1 species